GCCUGGCUAGCUCAGUUUGUAGAGCAUGUGACUCUUGAUCUCGGGGUUGUGAGUGUGAGCCUCAUGUUGGGUA
rnacentral:tRNA from 1 species